CCCCACUUUUCUUCUCUCUCUCCCUCCGUGUCACGCUUCCCUCGCCUGAGUCGCCCCGCCUCCGAUCGAAUCGAACCGGGUGGGCUUGCUUCGCCUCGUUUCGUCUCGUCUCGGCUCUCAGCCUCUCAGGAAACCGCAACGAGAUUCCUCGCGCGCGCGGCUCAGCAGAUCGCGCGAGCGCGAGAGGGAGGAGCAUGGGAUCGGAGGGACGGGGCUGGAACGGCGCUGGCGACGGCGCCAGGGGCGGGGAGGAGAAACCGACCACCACCGCGGCGGUGGCCGCAGGGGCGCCGGCGGACGUGCCCACGUCGGCGGCCUCCGUCGACAUCUCGCUGCCGCUCCCGGAGAUGACGCCUCACAUCAUAGGUCUCUGCAAGGGAUCGGUCAAAGGGUGGUCAUCGCUGGACAGCUCGUGCUUCUCCAUCGAGACGGUGUCUGGCGGCAUCACGAAUCUAUUGCUGAAGGUAUCUGUAAAAGAAGAAACUGGAAAUGAGUUUUCUGUUACUGUUCGUUUGUAUGGGCCAAAUACAGACUUGGUGAUUGAUCGGAAAAGGGAAUUACAGGCGAUACCAUAUCUCUCAGCUGCAGGGUUUGGGGCUCGUCUACUUGGAAUUUUUGAGAAUGGAGUAGUUCAGUCAUUCAUCCAUGCUCGAACACUGUCACCUGCAGACAUGAGAGAACCUAGAAUAGCAGCUGAGAUUGCCAAGGAGCUCCACAGAUUCCAUCAAGUAGACAUUCCAGGGUCUAAAGAACCACAACUGUGGAAUGAUAUAUUCAAGUUUUUGAAAAAAGCUUCAGCACUGAAGUUUGAGGAUAAUGAGAAGCGGAAGAGAUAUGAAACAAUCUCAUUUAGAGAAAUACAAGAUGAAGUUAAAGAACUUAAGGAUCUUUCCGACCUUCUGCGUGCACCUGUGGUUUUUGCACACAAUGACUUGCUUUCAGGAAAUUUGAUGCUCAAUGAUUCGGAAGGGAAGCUAUAUUUUAUUGAUUUUGAGUAUGGGUCAUACAGCUACCGCGGUUAUGACAUUGCAAAUCAUUUCAACGAGUACGCAGGAUUUGAUUGUGACUAUAACAUGUACCCAGAUAAAGAUGCUCAGUAUCACUUUUUCAGGAAUUAUAUGCAACCUGACAGACCCAGUGAGGUAUGUGAAACAAAACCAACUGAAAUCUCUUCGUACUACUCGAGUUCUUUCCUGAGUAAACAAAGCUUUUUGUUAGUGCUGCUCUUGUAACACAUGUUAGAUGCUACAUGUAGUUUUCCUUUGCUUGUUUUGGAUAAGGUUAGUAAUAACUCCGUCAUAUGUGCCAGAUGUUGACAUUUAGAGUGCUCCUAAGCUUAACAUGAAUUGCUUAGCAUUUGUUUCUUCUGGGUAACACCGGAUGUCUGGCAUUCAUAGAAGGCUGAAAGAUGUUACAGGAGUUUUUUUUUUUGGCAAAAGGGUGUAAUAUAACACUAGGUUCUUUUCUGUUCUGAUGUAACUACGCUGGAAGCAUAUUCACAGUUCUCUUUCAUUUUUCAACUGAAAGGUGCAGGCACAAGAUCUGGAAGCACUUUAUGUGGAAACAAACACUUUCAGGUUAGCAUCGCACAUUUACUGGGCAUUAUGGGCCCUCAUACAGGCAAAGGUAUCCCCAAUCGAUUUUGACUAUCUUGGGUACUUCUUCCAACGGUAUGGUGAGUACAAGAAACAGAGGGAGUCCUGCUUCUCCUUGGCACAAAGCUUCCUCUCUGAGCUGAGAAAUGGCUAGAGCCUGA